AACGCACAUUGCGCCUGCCAGUAUUCUGGCAGGCAUGCCUGUCCGAGCGUCAUUUCAACCCCCAGGCCCUCGUUGCCUGUUGUUGGGGCGUUCAGGGCGGUCCUACGACCCCCUGAGCCCUGAAAAGCAGUGGCGGGCUCGCCAGGUCACCGAGCGUAGUAAUUUUCUCUCGCUUAGGGGCCCUGGCGGGUGCCAGCCGUGAAAACGCAGAAGCUCUGCUUCUACAUAACAGUGGUUUGACCUCGGAUCAGGUAGGAAUACCCGCUGAACUUAA
rnacentral:misc_RNA from 1 species